ACCCGCACAAGCGGUGGAUGAUGUGGAUUAAUUCGAUGCAACGCGAAAACCUUAUCUACCCUUGACAUGUUCGGAAUUCCGCAGAGAUGUGGAAGUGCUCGAAAGAGAACCGGAACACAGGUGCUGCAUGGCUGUCGUCAGCUCGUGUCGUGAGAUGUUGGGUUAAGUCCCGCAACGAGCGCAACCCUUGUCAUUAGUUGCUACGAAAGGGCACUCUAAUGAAACUGCCGGUGACAAACCGGAGGAAGGUGGGGAUGACGUCAAGUCCUCAUGGCCCUUAUGGGUAGGGCUUCACACGUCAUACAAUGGUCGGUACAGAGGGCUGCCAACCCGUAAGGGGGAGCCAAUCCUUUAAAACCGAUCGUAGUCCGGAUUGAGGUCUGCAACUCGACCUCAUGAAGUCGGAAUCGCUAGUAAUCGCGGAUCAGCAUGUCGCGGUGAAUACGUUCCCGGGCCUU
rnacentral:rRNA from 1 species